CGCCAGGGUAUUACGAGCCUCAGCUUAAAACCCAAAGGACUUGACGGUGUCCCACCCACCUAGAGGAGCCUGUUCUAUAAUCGAUACCCCCCGCUAUACCCUACCACUUUUAGCCUAUCAGCCUGUAUACCUCCGUCGUAAGUUUACCGUGUGAACGCCUAUAGUAAGCUAAAUGACUUUUCGCCAAUACGUCAGGUCAAGGUGCAGCCCAUAAAGUGGCAAGCAAUGGGCUACAAUUUCUAACCUAGAACAAACGGAUAAACUGUGAUGAAACAGUUUAGAAGGAGGAUUUAGUAGUAAAAAGGAAACAUGAAUGUCCUUUUUAAUUUGGCACUGGGACGUGU
rnacentral:rRNA from 1 species